rnacentral:lncRNA from 1 species
AUGGCGGCCACCUCGCCAACAUCCUAUUCUGGGGAAACUCAAUGACUCCUGCAUCCAUUUCAUGCAGGUGAGCUGUGGCUGGGGGAGCCGGGCUGCCUUCCACUGUGCUCUGCCGCACACCAUGGUUCCUGGGAUAGGACCACUGGAGAUGCGCAUGAGAAAAGAAGCAUGUGGCUGCCUACCAACAACCGGGAAACUCUGCAUUUAUGCCACGUUCAAGGAACAGCACUUCAACCUUCCUUCAGGCCAGAGAAGUGCUUCGAAGCCUGAUGGUCUUUCCACCAAACUACUUAUAUCGUCUAUACCAAAGGCCUAGAGGAAGCCCCAUUAAGACUGAGUAAGGCUGCGCAGUAGCAAAGCAGAGAGAUCUGACACCAUCUGCCGACUGUUCAUGGCCCAGGGAGACAUCUGUGGGCUUUGGAGCCUGAUGACCCAGCUGUGCAUCCCAACUUGACCAUUAGUAGCCAUGGGACAUGUCAUACGUGUCACGUCUCGGAGUCUCAGUUUCCUCAUCUGCAACAAAGGGAAUCUGAACACCUGCUUUGUGGGUUCUUGUGCAGAUUCAAUGAAGGAAAAUGUGUGUCUACUCAGCGCAGUGCUUUGCAUAUGGUUCAUUAAAUAUUCAUUGUCUUUACCCGCGGGAGAGCGACUGUGGGCUCAGAUGAGAUCAUGGAGACGGACGUAAUCUGUGAAGACUCAUCUCUGUGCCAGUUGGAAUCGUGAUGUGGUUUGACAUUGACUCAUUCCUGUCUGGAUGGGUCUGGAGUAGACAGAGUCUAAGUAUCUCUCAGGUGAGAGAAACGGGGUAAGAACUGGCAGAGGGGAAUAUGGGAGUGUGGCCGUGGCCACUCGUGCAGGCUCCAAGAGCUAAUGGGCAGAGCGAGUUUUGAAAAUGUUUCUGCAAGGCUGUGUGAACUCUUUUCAGUCACCAAAUGACCAAAUUUAUGAAGGAUUCUGAAAUAGAAUGGAAGCUCAAGAGUUCAUGCUGUAUCCCAAGAGUGAUUUAUGUCAGAAUUGGACCAAAUAAUUUCCCGGGUUGUUAAAUUGACCGUUGGGACACAGACAUAUUAAAUAUUAUCAAAUAAACUUGGACUAUAGUUAAGAGUCAGUUUUAUGGGUUGGCCACAUUAAAAAAAAUUUUUUUUUGUAUUGGAAAUUGUAUUUAAAUCUGCAAUGAAUAUAGUCAUUGCGAUGUAAAGAACGGUCGUGGACCAGCAAGGGAGAACCAGCUGCAGGAG